rnacentral:rRNA from 1 species
UACGGAGGGUGCAAGCGUUGUCCGGAUUUAUUGGGUUUAAAGGGUGCGUAGGCGGCCUAAUAAGUCAGUGGUGAAAGCCUCCAGCUUAACUGGAGAACUGCCAUUGAUACUGUUGGGCUUGAGUAUACUUGAGGUAGGCGGAAUUGACAGUGUAGCGGUGAAAUGCAUAGAUAUUGUCAAGAACACCAAUUGCGAAGGCAGCUUACUAAAUUAUAACUGACGCUGAGGCACGAAAGUGUGGGUAUCAAACAGGAUUAGAUACCCUGGUAGUCCACACUGUAAACGAUGAUUACUCGCUGUUGGCGAUAAACUGCCAGCGGCCAAGCGAAAGCGUUAAGUAAUCCACCUGGGGAGUACGCCGGCAACGGUGAA